GCCUGUGCUACCCUGAAUGUGCCCGAUCUCAUCUGAUCUCGGAAGCUAAGCAAGUUCAGGCCUGGUUAGUACUUGGGUGGGAGAAAAAUAUUGUUAAACAUACU
rnacentral:rRNA from 1 species